UACGUAGGGGGCAAGCGUUGUCCGGAUUUAUUGGGCGUAAAGAGCGUGUAGGCGGCCAGACAGGUCCGUUGUGAAAACUCGAGGCUCAACCUCGAGACGCCGAUGGAAACCGUCUGGCUAGAGUCCGGAAGAGGAGAGUGGAAUUCCCGGUGUAGCGGUGAAAUGCGCAGAUAUCGGGAAGAACACCCGUGGCGAAGGCGGCUCUCUGGACGGUACUGACGCUGAGACGCGAAAGCGUGGGGAGCGAACAGG
rnacentral:rRNA from 1 species